UCACUCUACUUCCUUUACUUCUUCUGGGCCUUUGGGAAGAUAUUGUCUUUUGUUCCUCAACGGGAAAAUUCAUUUAUUUCAAUAUUCCGGCUCUUUUUUUCUCAGAGUCAUGCCGUUAUGCCUCCAUUCAACAAUUCAUGCAGUUUAUUCCAUACUCUACAUAUUGGUGGUGCCUUAUUUCUGUUACCCUUUCGCACCCGU
rnacentral:lncRNA from 1 species